GAAAAGGCUAGUGCUGGAGUUGGAUUUUGGCCCAUCUGCUCCAGACCAAAGCUUGCUUGUUUAAAAGUUUCCUCCAAAGACUCCUUCCUGGGUCAGGAUGAAGACGCACAGAAAGGAAGACCUAGCAGAAGCCUGCUGUUUCUGCCCCCAGCCGUGUAGGCUUGGCCAUGUGGGCUUGGCCAUGUAACCCAAACCAGAAAAGUUCUCCUAUCCAAAGAUGAAUUAUAUGACGAGGGCAUGGAUUCUCUUGCCAGAUGGAGGAUCUCAUAGUCUGCACCCACAUCCUAAAAGUCUCAAGCAGCUGAGGCAAAUAGUAGUUACUCUUCCCUCAGUGUCUCCCACGUUGACUAUGAACAGGGGAACACAGGCCAACCACCCGACUGGUAUGUGACCUGCAUGCUAGGUCAGCUGGGUCAUGCCCUUUACGCUGGCACUCAGUUCUUCCUCUUAGCAAAAGCUAAUUUCAGGUCUGUGCCCGAACCACCAUGUUCCAUCAUUAAAGGAAGAUGCCGGGCACCCUGUCACCAAACUCACAGCGUUGGGAAGUUAUUCAGAAUAACCAAGCAGUGUCUGUGACAAUGGUUUUGUAUCUGUAGAGUCAACAAGUGAUUCUAUUAGGUGAUAUGCCAAGCUUCUGGGUUCUUCAGGAGGAGAAGACUUAGGUGGAGGAGAUUCUCUCCAGCCUGGGCUCACCUGUGGCACUUGGAGAAGAUCUACUCUCUGCAGAGAUAGAAAGCUCUGGGGCCAGCACCUGCACUCUCACCUUGAAGCCUACAAGGAGGACAAGGACUUUGGCUCUGAUGCGUGUGGAUGUUUCCUAGGAAAUUCCAAAGGCCAAAAGCUCAUUUAAUUUGGUUAUCUUACUUUACGAAUUAUGUCUCUUAACAGCCAAACUAUUUUUUUUUUAAAUAGAAUGAUGUUAAGAAACAUGCUUACUGCUGUCAAUAUGUGGUGACCUAGAGAUUUAUCCUUCUGCAGAAGGUGUAAAGAGCUGGCUUUAGCCUUCUUUAUUAAUUCAGCCUAUGGUGUGAGUUAUUUAUUACAGAUUUGUCAUGACUGACUGCUCUCAUCUUUCAUCUGUUGGCUGAGUAUAGGAAAUGAGAAUGUGGAGAUUUUUAAAAGGUUCUGUCAAUACGGUUAAUUUUAGAAAACUUUGUGAAGUGAAUCGUUUACUGCUGAUGUGGCUGUCACUGACUUGGGUAGUUAGGAUAUCAUGGAGUAUUAGAGAGAGAUACCCACUGAGGAGAAAGAAAGAAAGCCGCCAUCUCUAGGAGUGUAUUUCAAAAUGAAAAUUAAAGAUCGUUUCUUUUUGGGGACUACAACUUAGAAUUCAAUUAUCUAUGUAUCCAGAUGAAAUAAGACAUAUUUACUACAUAACCCUGAAACAUAGGCAUAACAAUAUGAUGUCGACAAAAUAUGUAUCAUCAUGUUUUCAAGUCCUAGAUAUGGCUAUUUAAGGUCCUAAUCACAAAAUCAACCUUAUCAAAUUAUUUCUUUUUUUCCCACUUAAAAUGGAAACACCUUUAUUGCUAGUGUGGAACAAACAGAAGACAACAGAAGUGUGAAAGUACAGCACUUGGGCUAACAUUCUUCACCCUCAUCAUCUCCUCCUGCACCAUCUGCCCCUACUUCCUCAUAAUCCUUCUCCAGGGCAGCCAUGUCCUCACGGGCCUCAGAGAACUCUCCCUCUUCCAUGCCCUCACCCACAUACCAGUGCACAACGGCACGCUUGGCAUGCAUCAGAUCAAGCUCUGGUAUAUGGUCCAACCAGUUGUCCAUUUGAGUGUAACCAUAUGUGAACUCUGUGCUUAACCUCAUGUUAUAUUGACUUAUGUUAAUCUCGAUGUAAAAGUUUUCUUCAUGUAACUUUGUUGUACAGUUAUCACCUCCUGUCUUAUGUUUGGGAUCUUUUGCCAACUCUUAAGUUUUAUUGUGGCCUCUUUGGAUGGACCCUUUUCUGAGACAUUCUGAGUGCUGACCUCCUUGUCACCCUUACUUACGAUGGCCUUGAAGCAAUUACCAAGAGAUUGACACCCCCAAGGGGACCUUCAAGAAGGGACUAAUGGGCCAUGGGCCAUCUAACUUACCCCUCUUCCUGCCACUUUGAACAUCGUAUUUGAGCCUGAGAAUAUAAACAGGUGGACUGGAGCCUUCUUUGCAUCAGUUAACCUCUGUCUCGCCAGCUCAGCUCAGCGCCCGGUAAGGCCUGCUCAGCCCCUUGACUGCUGCAGUACUCCAUGGUAUGAGAGAACUAGAUCUGGCUGUUGGCUGCUGCCAAGGAGGGGAGCUGAGCUCCUCCAGCAAUGCUGCUUCCACACCAGAUGCAGGGACCAGACAAAACUUCCUUCUGGUCCCCUUCCAAACUGGCUCCUCCCCUUGAUCACUUUCCCUCCUUACCAUCCUCAUACCUAUGCUUCCCCCUGUCUUUUACAUGUUUUACUUACUGAACUUCACUUUAUACCCAAACAAAACACUCCACACUACUCUCCCGAUGACUCUCACCCUACAACGUGUAUUUCUGAUACGUCUGCAGAAAGACCUUUUUUAGAUGCUAUGGAGAAACUCUACCUAACCUUCACCCCUUUCCUCCCGGCCAGAUGCAGUUCCUUACGUCAGUCUUCUGUUGUCUCUCUCCUGUCCCCUUCCUCUGAUGCUCUGUAGCCACCUACCACUUCUGCCAGCUCAUUUUGGGGCAACAGUUCUGGCAAUGGGACCAGUCACCGUCACCCCGAAUCAACUCUAUGUCCACUUUCUUCCUCCUCUGUUCCUCACUACCCCCCAACCUUCCUGAGAAACCUCUCAGUUUUACUCUGUAGUCUGCUUUUAGCCCUUCAGUAUAACCACUUUCCAAGUCAUGUCAGGA